rnacentral:rRNA from 1 species
UUGUCCUACGGGAGGCAGCAGUGGGGAAUAUUGCACAAUGGGCGAAAGCCUGAUGCAGCGACGCCGCGUGAAGGAUGAAGUAUUUCGGUAUGUAAACUUCUAUCAGCAGGGAAGAAAAUGACGGUACCUGACUAAGAAGCCCCGGCUAACUACGUGCCAGCAGCCGCGGUAAUACGUAGGGGGCAAGCGUUAUCCGGAUUUACUGGGUGUAAAGGGAGCGUAGGCGGCAAGGUAAGCCAGAAGUGAAAGCCCGCGGCUCAACUGCGGGACUGCUUUUGGAACUAUCUAGCUAGAUUGCAGGAGAG